rnacentral:rRNA from 1 species
UACGGGGGGAGCAAGCGUUGUUCGGAUUUACUGGGCGUAAAGGGCGCGUAGGCGGCCACCGCAAGUCGGUUGUGAAAUCUCCGGGCUUAACCCGGAAAGGUCAAUCGAUACUGCGGGGCUAGAGUGCAGAAGGGGCAACUGGAAUUCUCGGUGUAGCGGUGAAAUGCGUAGCUAUCGAGAGGAACACCUGCGGCGAAGGCGGGUUGCUGGGCUGACACUGACGCUGAAGCGCGAAAGCUAGGGGAGCGAACGGG